AACGAACGCUGGCGGCAUGCCUAACACAUGCCAGUCGAACGAGACCUUCGGGUCUAGUGGCGCACGGGUGCGUAACGCGUGGGAACCUGCCCUUAGGUUCGGAAUAACUCCCCGAAAGGGGUGCUAAUACCGGAUAAUGUCUUCGGACCAAAGAUUUAUCGCCUUUGGAUGGGCCCGCGUUGGAUUAGCUAGUUGGUAGGGUAAAAGCCUACCAAGGCGACGAUCCAUAGCUGGUCUGAGAGGAUGAUCAGCCGCACUGGGACUGAGACACGGCCCAGACUCCUACGGGAGGCAGCAGUGGGGAAUAUUGGACAAUGGGCGAAAGCCUGAUCCAGCAAUGCCGCGUGAGUGAUGAAGGCCUUAGGGUUGUAAAGCUCUUUUACCCGGGAUGAUAAUGACAGUACCGGGAGAAUAAGCUCCGGCUAACUCCGUG
rnacentral:rRNA from 1 species